AAAAAAAGAAAAUACACAACAGAUGGUCUGAAAGAGAAAUCUUCACUCUUGAUAUUUACAGCGGAAGUGAAUGCUCAGGGCUACACGUGUUAAGCAGAUGUGUGGGAAUUGGAGAGAACAUCAAGGUUAAGACGAAAGGUGCACAGAAAACCCCAGGCAUCUCCGCUACCUGUGAUGUUGAGUUGGAGCUCUGUACCAGUCAUACAUUAUCGGUCAGAAGGAUCCAUGAAAGCAGUGUGCAGCCUGCACGCCAGCCAGCAUUUCCCUGUGUAUGUUUCAUGAGGAUGACGAUAUGAUGAUACAACAACAGCGCUCAGCUGUAUAAUUUUAACCAGCUUCAAAACUUUCCCCGCUGUGAUGAGGAACCCUUUGAUGUCUCCACAGCCUCUUGUCACAUAUGCAUCCACGGCUGGAUCCAGCUCCCCAGGUGAGGAAUGAUGAUGAGAAAGCGCGAGGCAACCGGCAGAGAUUUUCCAUGCUGGGCCGUGAGUGCUCGGGGAUCUUUUGGGAAAAUGCCUCCACAGAUGAAUCUGAUGUAUGCUCAAGACACACGGCUGAAAUAGCGAAUAUGACUCCGCAGACACAAACAGAGGCUCUUGUGUGUCACGCCCCAUGCAUGCCAAGUGAAUGUAUGUAUUAAAACCUCAGCUGCACAGUCAGCCACACAUG